rnacentral:tRNA from 1 species
GGAGAGGUAGCGAAGAGGCUAAACGCGGCGGACUGUAAAUCCGCUCCUUCGGGUUCGGGGGUUCGAAUCCCUCCCCUUCCA